rnacentral:lncRNA from 1 species
CUGACAAUAACAGUAUUGUGUUACGCUUUUUAUAUUUCGCACGUGUUAACACAAAGCAUAUACAUAUUUAUAUAUAUACAUAUUCGUGCUUAAGUGUGCGUGCACAUAUUUACGUAACAAUAAACUAGUAAUAUAUACUGAAUGGUUAUUUUAUAUAAACAUAAAAUGAAACACAAAGCAUGUUAAUUAGGAGCGUGUUAAAACUAGCAGGAUAUCCUAAGGCUUCUUUUCAUGAACAAAACAUAAACCCCUUUUCUAAUGUCCAAUGGAAAAGCAACCCGUUUUUAAAAAAAAACAUGCCUAGAACAGACUUAUUAAGUGAAGAACAUAUUUCUAAAAAUGCAAUAAGUGUAUUUGAUAAAGAGAAAGGAAACUGGUUUGUUAUUGAUGCAACUAACAAAAGUGUAGGUAGCUUAAGUGUAUGUAUAAGUAAACUUUUACAAGUUUAUAAGUUUUUUAGAAAAAGUCACUCUAAAGGUAAUAAAAUAUUAACGUGUAAAACAGUUUUUGCAAGAAACCCAUCCAUGAUUAUUAACUUAGCAGUAAAAAGAAUGUUACCUAACAAUAGGUUAAGACAGAUAUAUUACCGUAAACUUUUUGUUUAUCCUGGGGCUUUACAUCCUCAUUGGGGUAUCCCGCAAGUAGUUGUUCCAAAAAAGAAAGUUACAGAUACCAUAGACCAAACCAAUAUAAAAGCAUUUUCAGUUGUUUAA